UCAAAUAGUAGUAAUAAAAGAAAAUUGAACAUGGUAGAUUCGGCAGGGAAUUGAGCUGGUCUUGGGAAGCACUUCUGCAACCCAUGUAUGCGAAUGGAACAUGAGAAUUGGUAUGCCCUACUCAAGGAUUUAUUAAAUGUGAUAUGGAUGGUAGUGUUCUAAGCUCUCCAAGAUAUACUGCAUGUGAUGUUGCAGUGAAACAUGCACGUGAAGUAGGUUGGAAUAGUCUUUGGCUGGAAUGUGACUCUAUGUUGAUUUUGGUUGCUUAAGAGAAUCCAUCCUUGGUGUCUUGGAUCAUUAAAGUGUUUGUCUCGUGGGAUACUUCACCAGCUUUUGGAGGCAUCAGGAUUCUCAGCAGACCAAGAAUUCCAGUACCCUUCCCUGAUCCCUCUGGAGAUUACAUUGUUCUCAUUGGAGAUUGGUACAAAUCCAACCAC